UUCAUUGUUCUUUAAACUUUCUGUACUAAGAUGUUAAAAAUUGUAACAGAAUUCCAGGGUGGUGAAAGGUUGAAGGCCAUGUUCUAAAACUUCACUCAGAAAACACCCAAACUUUUGCUGUGACAGAAUACGCAACUCCAGUCUAGAACUGCAUCGAUGGGGAGUACAGAACAAAGAUAAAGGGAUUUUCAGAAACUUUGAAACCUGUACAAGAUGUAUCAAACAUAUAAAAACAAUCUGAAUGAUGAACCAACAGCUUUGGUGUUUUUCGUCAACGGGAAAAGGGUUUCAAUUGAAAAUCCGGAUCCCAAAGUGACGCUGAUACAAUACCUUAGACGAAACUUAUAUUUGACCGGGACGAAGGAGGCAUGCAGUCAGGGAGCAUGUGGGGCGUGCACAGUCAUGUUGUCUUACUACAACCACCACCAGAAGAAAAUUAU